rnacentral:rRNA from 1 species
AGGGUUCGAUUCUGGCUCAGGACGAACGCUGGCGGCGUGCUUCAUACAUGCAAGUCGAACGAGAAUUUCGACUUCGGUGGAAGGAAAGUGGCGGACGGGUGAGUAAUGUGUAGAGAAUCUGCCCUAGAGCGGGGGACAACAGUUGGAAACGACUGCUAAUACCCCAUAUGCGCGUACUUGAGAUAGUAUUCGUGAAAACUCCGGUGCUCUGGGAUGAGUCUGCAUCUGAUUAGCUAGUUGGCGGUGUAAUGGACCACCAAGGCGACGAUCAGUAGCUGGUUUGAGAGGAUGAUCAGCCACAAUGGGACUGAGACACGGCCCAUACUCCUACGGGAGGCAGCAGUAGGGAAUUUUGCGCAAUGGGGGCAACCCUGACGCAAGCAACGCCGCGUGAUUGAAUAAGCCCUUCGGGGUGUAAAGAUCUGUCAGUAGGGACGAAACUUGACGGUACCUACAGAGGAAGCAUCGGCUAACUCCGUGCCAGCAGCCGC